ACCCUUCCAAAAGCACUCGCCUGGCCUGAACCCCGUGGCCCGAUGAGUCGUCACGAAAGGGCAGAGCAAGAGACGUCGCUUUUGGGUGAAGGAACAGCAACCUGUGCUGCUUUACUUCAAUCGGCGGUGGGACAAGC